rnacentral:rRNA from 1 species
CGAACGGGUGAGUAACACGUGAGUAACCUGCCCACAGCUUUGGGAUAACGCUAGGAAACUGGUGCUAAUACUGGAUAUGUGCUCCUGCUGCAUGGUGGGGGUUGGAAAGCUCCGGCGGUUGUGGAUGGACUCGCGGCCUAUCAGCUUGUUGGUGGGGUAGUGGCUUACCAAGGCUUUGACGGGUAGCCGGCCUGAGAGGGUGACCGGCCACAUUGGGACUGAGAUACGGCCCAG